ACUUCAAACCCUGCGGGCUAGGAUCAAAAACAUUAACAUACAAAAACGAAAAACAGCUUCAUGGAAAGUAGGGUACAAAUAGCAGCAUUAUUCCAACAUUUAAACGGCAUCCUGGAAUAUUAUAUGCACACGCUUGAUUACGAGAAAAGGGUAGGAAUGCUGACGGAGGGCAGUUGGAGAGAGGCCGCAGUCGGCACCGGGUUCCAGUGUUCAGGCGCGUGGGAGCAGAGGGGCGGCCCGGCCCGGCCCGUGCCCACCAGAGGGGGCGCUCCCUGGCAGUGUGUCUCGCCGGACCUCCGGCAAAUUCGCUCGCCCUCCCUAGCCUGAGGAGUCUCCACCUGUUGGACAAGUGCGGGGGUGGUGCUGUUAGUCAGUCACCCAGUGAAGUGUCAUUGCUCGGCGCUGCUUUUGAACCCUUAGCUCCUUCCUGUCGUAGUUGAGCUUCUUCAAGCCCAUGAUUCCGUACUGCAGGCUCGUCCUGUUGGAAUGAGGAACGAAGACCCCAA